AUUGAACGCUGGCGGCAGGCCUAACACAUGCAAGUCGAGCGGAGCGGCGGACGGGUGAGUAAUGCCUAGGAAUCUGCCUGGUAGUGAGGGAUAACGUCCGGAACCGGGCGCUAAUACCACAUCCUAUCAGAUGAGCCUAGGUCGGAUUAGCUAGUUGGUGGGGUAAAGGCUUACCAAGGCGACGAUCCGUAACCGGUCUGAGAGGAUGAUCAGCCACACUGGAACUGAGACACGGUCCAGACUCCUACGGGAGGCAGCAGUGGGGAAUAUUGGACAAUGGGCGAAAGCCUGAUCCAGCCAUGCCGCGUGUGUGAAGAAGGUCUUCGGAUUGUAAAGCACUUUUAGUUGGGAGGCGUUACCAACAGAAUAAGCACCGGCUAACUUCGUGCCAGCAGCCGCGGUAAUUC
rnacentral:rRNA from 1 species